rnacentral:tRNA from 1 species
UCCUGGUAGCUCAGACAGUAAAGCAUCUACCUGCAAUGUGGGAGACCCGGGUUCGAUCCCUGGGUCAGGAA